UACGUAGGUGGCAAGCGUUGUCCGGAUUUACUGGGCGUAAAGGGCGCGUAGGCGGCCUGUUAAGUCGAACGUGAAAUCCCCGGGCUCAACCCGGGAACUGCGUCCGAUACUGGCAGGCUUGAAUUCGGGAGAGGGAUGUGGAAUUCCAGGUGUAGCGGUGAAAUGCGUAGAUAUCUGGAGGAACACCGGUGGCGAAGGCGGCAUCCUGGACCGAUAUUGACGCUGAUGCGCGAAAGCCAGGGGAGCAAACGGG
rnacentral:rRNA from 1 species